AGAGUUUGAUCCUGGCUCAGGACGAACGCUGGCGGCGUGCCUAACACAUGCAAGUCGAGCGGAGACAGUGAGUAGCUUGCUAUGAGCUGUUUUAGCGGCGGACGGGUGAGUAACGCGUGAGCAACCUUUCCCAGACAGGGGAAUAACACACCGAAAGGUGUACUAAUACCGCAUAAGACCACGGGAUCACAUGGUUCUGGGGUAAAAGAUUUAUCGGUUUGGGGUGGGCUCGCGUCCGAUUAGGUAGUUGGUGAGGUAACGGCCCACCAAGCCGACGAUCGGUAGCCGACCUGAGAGGGUGAUCGGCCACAUUGGGACUGAGACACGGCCCAAACUCCUACGGGAGGCAGCAGUGGGGAAUAUUGGGCAAUGGAGGAAACUCUGACCCAGCAACGCCGCGUGGAGGAAGAAGGUUUUCGGAUCGUAAACUCCUGUCCUUGGAGACGAGUAGAAGACGGUAUCCAAGGAGGAAGCCCCGGCUAACUACGUGCCAGCAGCCGCGGUAAUACGUAGGGGGCAAGCGUUGUCCGGAAUAAUUGGGCGUAAAGGGCGCGUAGGCGGCUCGGUAAGUCUGGAGUGAAAGUCCUGCUUUUAAGGUGGGAAUUGCUUUGGAUACUGUCGGGCUUGAGUGCAGGAGAGGUUAGUGGAAUUCCCAGUGUAGCGGUGAAAUGCGUAGAGAUUGGGAGGAACACCAGUGGCGAAGGCGACUAACUGGACUGUAACUGACGCUGAGGCGCGAAAGUGUGGGGAGCAAACAGGAUUAGAUACCCUGGUAGUCCACACUGUAAACGAUGAAUGCUAGGUGUAGGGGGUAUCGACCCCUUCUGUGCCGCAGUCAACACAAUAAGCAUUCCGCCUGGGGAGUACGGCCGCAAGGUUGAAACUCAAAGGAAUUGACGGGGGCCCGCACAAGCAGCGGAACAUGUGGGUUUAAUUCGACGCCACCGCGAAGAACCUUACCAGGGCUUGACAUCCACUUUAACUUUCCAGAGAAAUAAAGGGUGGCUUUGCCCAAAAGGAGACAAGGGGGGGCACGGGGUGUCCCCCACCUCUGGCCUGGAGAGAUUGGGGUUAAAUCCCCCCACCAAAGGGCAACCCUUUUUUUUCUUUUUCUAACCCCGUGCAGGUGAGAGACUCUUAAAAAACUUCCCCGGGGACACCCCCCAGGGAGGGUGGGGACGACGUCAAAUCAUCAUGCCCCUUAUGACCUGGGCUACACACGUGCUACAAUGGCCACGACAGAGAGAAGCGAAAUCGUAAGGUAGAGCGGAACUCAAAAAAGUGGUCCCAGUUCGGAUUGUGGGCUGCAACCCGCCCACAUGAAGUCGGAGUUGCUAGUAAUCGCGGAUCAGCAUGCCGCGGUGAAUACGUUCCCGGGCCUUGCACACACCGCCCGUC
rnacentral:rRNA from 1 species